AGCGUAGACGGCGAAGCAAGUCUGGAGUGAAAACCCAGGGCUCAACCCUGGGACUGCUUUGGAAACUGUUUUGCUAGAGUGUCGGAGAGGUAAGUGGAAUUCCUAGUGUAGCGGUGAAAUGCGUAGAUAUUAGGAGGAACACCAGUGGCGAAGGCGGCUUACUGGACGAUAACUGACGUUGAGGCUCGAAAGCGUGGGGAGGCAAAACA
rnacentral:rRNA from 1 species